rnacentral:rRNA from 1 species
CCUGAACGCUGGCGGCGUGGCUAAGACAUGCAAGUCGCACGGGUAGCAAUACCCAGUGGCGAACGGGUGAGUAAUGAAUCGCUAAUGUACCCUGGACUCUGGGAUAGCUACUCGAAAGGGUAGGUAAUACCAGAUGAGACCACAAGCAGGCAUCUGCUGGUGCUCAAAGGUCCGCCGGUCUGGGAGCAGGCGAUUUCGUAUCAGCUAGNGGUUGAGGUAACGGCUCACCAAGGCGACGACGCGUAGCCGGACUGAGAGGUUGGCCGGCC